CAGUAAGGUGGCUGCACCGCUGUCCAAGACCAAUGAGAUUGUCAUCCUGAGUGGAGAGGGCAGCCGCGUGACUGGAGAGGUGACCCGUCUACUAGCUGAACUCCCCGUGUCUGUCAACGCCCUCACCGGGGUGGAUCUGACUAAGAUCCCUGCGCUCCAGAAGAUGAUGGGCCCACAGUGCCAAACAGCCAUCUGAUGAAUCAGGCCAGAGCCUCGUUACUCUGAAUCCUUCCACAUAUAUCUGCCUCAAGCAUGAAAAGAGUUUUUUCAGCCUCUGACCCCUUAUGCAACUGCCUUUGACCAGAAACACUUGACACCAACCAAGAAGUUUUUAUAUUUUUAAGAGGUUUUUAAUUUUCUAAAGGAAAAAAAAGCUGGGGCCUUACUUCUAAAGGACCAGAUUAUAUGUUUUGUUUUUAGUUGUAGAUACAUUGAUCCUUAUCACACUGCACUAGUUAGCCAGGAUUAUAUGCUGCCAUCCUCUCCAGUCGGCCCACUUUGAAUGUGGUGGUGUUAGAUAAAGUUUUUGGAGGGAGAAGCCUCCAGUCUUCAGUGCUGGAAAGAGUCCAAAACACAACGGCCAAAUCUUGAUAUUGUUCUCCAGAGCUGUUUAAGUUUCUGCCUGGAGUUUGGAGUGCACCACCUCCCUGUCAGGUGUAUUCACCGUUGGGAGCAGCUCCCGCCUCUUCAUCCUCCAACUGUCAUCCAAUGCUCAGCGCCCAGUUAGUGAUGUACCUCGCAGUAGACUGAGCCCAGUGUGAUGGGCAGCUUUUAUUUUUCCUUUGCCUUUAUGCUUUCAUAGAUUAGUUAACUCUAACUCAGAGAGAUCUCGAUGGAUUACCAAACCGCUGUUACACAUACCAGAUCUUCACCCACUGUGAUUGUAAAAUUUAUUAUGGUAUCAGUACUAUCUGAAUCACUUGUAUGAUAAUUCUUACCUCUGUCAUGUUGCCUGUCUUCUCUUUCUGAUGUGCAGUGCCUGUUCACCACUCAAGUGCCCAUACCUUAGGACAGUAAGUGGUUUGGCUUUAGUUGGAUUUAUGUCACAAUCACUAUAUAUAUAUAAAUAUAUCACUGUAUGUCACACAGUAUAUCGCUGUGUUAUAGCUGGAUUAAGUUUUAAUAUCGCUCUUGUAACAUCUGCUUGUACUAACAACAGUGUUUACUCUUCACUUUUGUCGCAUGUUUGGACUCAUAGGCCACGAUACACACAAAGCCAUACUUAGAGAAGUUUAGCCUUAAAGAAGAAACCCUGGACGCCUGCCGGGCUUACCGGACAUUUCUUUAUAACUCGAGUGGUAAUCGUUCAGGGUCUGAGCUUUAAUCCAUUUUGUUACUCCUCUCUGUCUCUUUACUCCUCCUGAGAUGAACUGUCAGUCCUCCUCCUACUCAGAUACUGUCACAUGUUGCUCCAAUGUUGUUUUGAAAUAUUUUGUAGACUACAGUCAUGGAUGGAUUAUUAAAUGAGCCACCCGGGCAAAGGCCUAAGGGCCCAAAGGGUCAGGGGGCCCUGGGGCCAGACACUCUGUUUGAAGUGACUGUUGACACACCUUAGGAGCCGUCCACAUCAAGAACAAUAAUAAUAUGAGCAUCAACACUGAUGAACAAUAAAGUUAUGUAAACACUGGUGCCAAACGCUGCACGCCCCAGCUGUGACACCCUGUAAAUUCAGGUGGAUUUGAUUUUGACCGGCUGUCUGUGUUCGCUCUGAAAGUGAUCCAGACUGUCACUUUCGUUAAAGUUGUGGUGUGGCCUACACCAUCCACUUGAGUUAGAACCAUUUUUAGUUAUCAUUCUCAGUGUGGACGGCCCUUUAUUGGAAAGAAAAAUCAGACAACCUCAAAGACAUACCAACUGAUUGCAAAGAGACAGAAAACAACAAAAAAGGAACAACACAUCCAUAAAGAGACAUAAAACAACCACAUAGAGAUGUAAAAUGACUAUAAAGGAACACAACACAACCACAAAGACAUAAAACGACUAUAAAGGAACACAACACAACCACAAAGAGACGUAAAACCACCACAUAGACAUAAACAGGGUUCCCACGAAAUUCCUUGAAAAGUUAUGAAAUGAUUAAGGCCUGGAAAUUGUUUGGAAAUAACAAUGUUUUGGAAAGGUGUUGAAUACACAUUAUGUUGGCUGUUUAACAUAUGUUCAUAAACAUGUCUAACAUUACAUGUACAUGUUCCUUGUAUUACGGAUUUAAAAUGUAGUGCUGCGCUGCAUGACUGUUGAAACGUCACUAGUAUCAUGUGAUACACGCUCCCUUUUGGGGGAAAGAAGCACAAAAAGUACCCGUAUGUGCGAGUCAGCUCUAUUGGCAUCAUCUGCAGCUAGGCAGUGGCUUGAAUGUCUAAUAAGUGAGUAAAGUUGGCAAGUGCUAGCAGUUAACUUAUCUGCAAAUGCCAGGAAAGGGCGUGUUUGAUAGUGUAUGGCUGUAUCAGGACACAUUUUACUUCAAAUCAUGGAUAUGGGGUUAAAUAUUGUGUUGAAAGUGUGGGAACCCUGCAUACAAACAACCACAAAGACACACUUCACGACUAGAAACUAUGUUUUUGUCUCUUUCAGUGUGGGGGUCUUGCUCCUUUGUAGAAGGAGUGUGUUCGUGUGUUGUUGUUUUUUCCAUGUCUGCACCCGGGGACCCAUUUUCUCGUAAUCUGUCCAUCACUAUAUACAUAUUUUAUAACUUUAAACAGUAACAUCCCCCUCACAUCUUCAGUUUGAAAGUUGUCACCAAAUCUGUGAUGACAAAGCAGGAAUAUAAUGUUACAUUCAGUCAGUCCGUGCCUCAGUAAGUUGCAGGAUAAUUGAGGUGUGACAAGGGGGUUUGUCUUCAGUUUGGUAGAUGUUAAUCGAGUGGUUGGACCAAUGACUCUUUUUUCAGCUCUCAUUUCUUCUCUUCAGUCGAAUUACCACACGUAGUCUGUUACAAUCAUUUAACUGUUGAAAGCCAGAUGACAAAGUGAUGGCUCAGUGUUACAUGAUCAAUUGUGACAUGAGGACAGUGUGCAACAAGUUUCAACCUCUAGAUGGCAGGAUUUAAACCCAAAUGAGCCUUUUGUUGCUGCUGUUAUAAAUUUUUAUUACUUUUAUUUUCAUACCUGUGUUGUUUAACUAUUUCAUCCAGGCUGCCCUGUUUUAAUUUCCUGUUUUAAUCACUUUGUGAAUUAUCUUUAACCACUUUACAGAAUCUGUGACCUUUAAAUAUAUUGUUUCUAUUUUGCCACUGACCGUUAUCAAACAAAAGUUUUCAUAGUCGCACCGUUUUCUUAAUUUUCUGUGAAUAAACAUGUGGCUUGUUUGGUCUGAGCAAAUUUCA